AACGUAGGAGGCAAGCGUUAUCCGGAAUUACUGGGCGUAAAGGGCGUCUAGGCGGAUGGGCAAGCGCGAUGUGAAAGCUCCUGGCUCAACUGGGAGAGUGCGUAGCGAACUGCUUGACUAGAGGCCAGGCGAUGGGGGUGGAAUUCCCGGUGGAGUGGUGAAAUGCGUAGAGAUCGGCAGGAACACCCAGGGGGAAACCAGCCGACUGGGCAUCGGACUGACGCUGAGGUGCGAGAGCGUGGGGGAGCGAACCGG
rnacentral:rRNA from 1 species